rnacentral:rRNA from 1 species
UACAGAGGUCCCAAGCGUUGUUCGGAUUCAUUGGGCGUAAAGCGCACGUAGGCGGUCCAGCAAGUCGGGUGUGAAAGCCCUCGGCUUAACCGAGGAAGUGCAUUCGAAACUACUGGACUUGAAUACUGGAGAGGAUCGCGGAAUUCCCGGUGUAGAGGUGAAAUUCGUAGAUAUCGGGAGGAACACCAGUGGCGAAGGCGGCGAUCUGGACAGAUAUUGACGCUGAGGUGCGAAAGCGUGGGGAGCAAACAGG